UGUGCCUCCGCUGGCCCGGGUGGAUCAAAGCGAGCCGUGGGCAGUGCACGGAAGGCGGCGGUCACACCGAAACGAGGGUUUGGACGUAACCUGUGAUUUCUGUCAAUGGUGCAAAGUGUUGGGGAAAAGGGGAAGAGGUAACCAGCCAAGGCAGUGUUGAGCCCAAAUGGAAGGUCUCUAUUGAGUGAAUGGAUUGGACUUCCUCUAAGGAAGGCACAUUGUUGGACCCUUCCCAAUGUUACUAUGACUCCCAUCAUGCACCUGGCGCCAUGACAGUUACAGAGGAGCCAAAUAAGGAAGAAAGAGUGGGAAAUGGAGGGUCGCACCUAGGUAGAGAUGAAUGAACCACGUCAACGGGAUGCCACCAAUUCCCGCCCAGGAGGGAUAAAUACCCCUAAUCGGGACUUUGUCUGAAAUACUCAAAUCUCUGAGUUCACCUGCAGUUCCCUCUCAACUGUACUUUAGUUUCAAUAAAC